CCCCUAGAUGUUCUGGGCCGCACGCGCGCUACACUGAACAGUUCAACAAGUCUUAACCUUGGCCGAUAGGUCUGGGUAAUCUUUGAACGCUGUUCGUGAUUGGGAUAGACCUUUGCAAUUAUGGGUCUUCAACGAGGAAUUCCUAGUAAACGCAAGUCAUCAGCUUGCAUUGAUUACGUCCCUGCCCUUUGUACACACUGCCCGUCGCACCUACCGAUUGAAUGGUCCGGUGAAAUCUCGGGACGGCGGCUUGGUCGCUUGCGUCCGACUGCUGAAACUUGAUUAAACCAUAUCAUUUAGAGGAAGGUGAANUCGUANCA
rnacentral:rRNA from 1 species